CACAAACCAUACCACACCAUACCACAAACCACACCAUACCACAAACCAUACCAUACACCAUACCACACUAUAUCACAAACCAUACCAUACAUCAUACCACACCAUCAUACACCAUCAUACACCACACCAUACACCACACCAUAUCACAAACCAUACCAUACACCAUACCACACCAUACCACAAACCAUACCAUACACCAUCAUACACCAUCAUACACCAUACGCCAUACCACACCAUACACCAUACCACACCAUACACCACCAUACCACACACCAUACCACACCAUACCACACACCAUACCUUGUCUAUGAAUAAAGACCAGUCACGGGUUCUUCUGACAAAAUAGAAGCCAAAGGGAGAAUAAUAACACAACCAGCCAAUCAGGUUACAGGUUGAAUCAUUUGCUGUAUUCCUGAACAAAAGCACCAGUGUAUGAAAAGCCAUAAAGGAUUAAUUGCAUAAAGAAAUAUUUGUGUAAAUAUAUACAGUACACGACAACAUAUAAAAACAGUCAUUUGUUGAUUGUAUGGGAAGCUAUUGUGCCCUUAUACCCAUGCAUUUACACAUGAAUCAAUCUGUCUUUUCUUUAUGCUUGGGGUCCACAGUCAGCGCACAGCUUCAGGGCUUUGUGUGAACAAGCCCCACAAACAAAUUGGUUUCACUGCACACAGCACACAGUUUUCAUGGGCCUUGUUUCCUGUGUACCUGCCGCAAGUGUUGCAUGGUCUCUCUGAAGCGGAUGCGUAGCUCGGUCUCUCUGAGGAGGUUGGUCUCUCUGAAGAGGAUGGUCUCUCUGAAGAGGAUGCGUAGCUCGGUCUCUCUGAAGAGGAUGCGUAGCUCGGUCUCUCUGAAGAGGAUGGUCUGUCUGAAGAGGUCGGUCUCUCUGAAGAGGAUGCGUAGCUCGGUCUCUCUGAAGAGGAUGGUCUCUCUGAAGAGGAUGCGUCGCUCGGUCUCUCUGAAGAGGAUGGUCUCUCUGAAGAGGUUGUGUAGCACGGUCUCUCUGAAGAGGAUGCGUAGCACGGUCUCUCUGAAGAGGAUGGUCUCUCUGAAGAGGUCGGUCUCUCUGAAGAGGAUGCGUAGCUCGGUCUCUCUGAAGAGGAUGGUCUCUCUGAAGAGGAUGCGUAGCUCGGUCUCUCUGAAGAGGUUGAGUGUCAUGGUCUCUCUGAAGAGGUUCCCCCCCAUACCUAUCAGACCAAAAUGACUCCAUGCUAUUUCAGCUUUAUGCCCCGCGGACAUACAAGAGAGCAAUAAACGUACUGUUUCCUUUUCUGUGUGCAUCAGCUUCAGUACAGUCUCUGAUGGGAUGCAACAUCUGCAUGCCACAAACUCAUCAUUCUUUUCUAUCCAAACUGUGCCAUCCCUCUUAGACUCCUGUCUCACCGUGCCAUCCCUCCCAGACUCCUGUCUCACUGUGCCAUCCCUGUUAGACUCCGGUCUCACUGUGCCAUCCCUCCCAGACUCCUGUCUCACCGUGCCAUCCCUCCCAGACUCCUGUCUCACCGUGCCAUCCCUCCUAGACUCCUGUCUCACCGUGUCAUCCCUACCAGACUGUUCUGGUUUUUCUGUGGUGAGGCUCAGACAUUGGAGGUGGAGAUUCUAAGUCAACAUCAGAAUCAAAUGAAGACUCUUCAUCAGCAACGUCGAUAUCCUAUCCUCCAUCCGACUCCUACUCAUCUAAAUUCUGCAGCAUCUGCAGUGCUGUCAGUGCAUCCGAUCGUUUGGUUGGGCUUGGCAUUGUGAACUACGCACAUUGUAUCUUGUACUCGGUGUCUGAUUUGACUCUCCCAGAAGAAAUUACAUUGCAUUCAGAAAGUAUUCAGACCCCUUCCCGUUAAAUCCUUAUUCUAAAUUUGAUUAAAUAUGUUUUCUCUCAUCAAUCUACACACAAUACCCCAUAGUGACAAAAGAAAAUCAAGUUUAGAUAUUUUUUGCUAAUUCAUGAAAAAUAAAGGAAAUAUCACAUAUAUACAAGUAUUCAGACCCUUUACUCAGUACUUCGUUAAAGCACCUUUGGCCUAGAUUACAACCUUGAGUCUUCUUGGGUAUGACGCUACAAGCUUGGCACACCUGUAUUUGGGGAGUUUCUCCCAUUCUUCUCUGCAGAUCCUCUCAAGCUCUGUCAGGUUGGAUGGGGAGCGUCGCUGCACAGCUAUUUUCACGUCUCUCCAGAGAUGUUUCGAUCAGGUUCAAGUCCGGGCUCUGGCGGGGCCACUCAAGGACAAUCAGAGACUUGUCCCGAAGCCCACUCCUGCAUUGUCGUGUCUGUGUGCUUAGGGUUGUUGUCCUGUUGGAAAGUGAACUUUUACCCCAGUCUGAGGACCUGAGCAGUCUGGGUCAGGUUUUCAUCAAGGAUCUCUCUGUACUUUUCUAUGUUCAUCUUUCCCCUCGAUCCUAACUAGUCUCCCAGUCCCUGCCACUGAAAAACCUCCCCAAACAUACCCAAAGCAUGAUGCUGCCACCACCAUGCUUCACCGUAGGGACGGUGCCAGCUUUCCUCCAGGCGUGAUGCUUGGCCAGAGACCAGAGAUUCUUGUUUCUCAUGGUCUGAGAGUCGAAGUGCCUUUUGGCAAACUCCAAGUGGGCUGUCAUGUGCCUUUUACUGAGGAGUGGU
ensembl:lncRNA